GGGUUGUGAGGUUAAGCGACUAAGCGUACACGGUGGAUGCCCUGGCAGUCAGAGGCGAUGAAGGGCGUGCUAAUCUGCGAUAAGCGCCGGUAAGGUGAUAUGAACCGUUAUAACCGGCGAUACCCGAAUGGGGAAACCCAGUGUGACUCGUCACACUAUCAUUAACUGAAUCCAUAGGUUAAUGAGGCGAACCGGGGGAACUGAAACAUCUAAGUACCCCGAGGAAAAGAAAUCAACCGAGAUUCCCCCAGUAGCGGCGAGCGAACGGGGAGGAGCCCAGAGCCUGAAUCAGCAUGUGUGUUAGUGGAAGCGUCUGGAAAGGCGCGCGAUACAGGGUGACAGCCCCGUACACAAAAGCGCAUGUGCUGUGAGCUCGAUGAGUAGGGCGGGACACGUGGUAUCCUGUCUGAAUAUGGGGGGACCAUCCUCCAAGGCUAAAUACUCCUGACUGACCGAUAGUGAACCAGUACCGUGAGGGAAAGGCGAAAAGAACCCCGGCGAGGGGAGUGAAAAAGAACCUGAAACCGUGUACGUACAAGCAGUGGGAGCCCCACCACCAAAGCAUUUGCUGUACCGCGUUGACGGAGCGAAGCGACGUCAAACCGAUAAAACAGCAGUGUAAAGUGAGCCGCAGGGCGCUUUGCGCGACAGCGCAAAGGCAGGCGGUUUCGCGUAGCGAAAGCGAAUGCUUUGGGGUGGGGUGACUGCGUACCUUUUGUAUAAUGGGUCAGCGACUUAUAUUCUGUAGCAAGGUUAACCGAAUAGGGGAGCCGGAGGGAAACCGAGUCUUAAUUGGGCGUUAAGUUGCAGGGUAUAGACCCGAAACCCGGUGAUCUAGCCAUGGGCAGGUUGAAGG
rnacentral:rRNA from 1 species